GAGUUUGAUCGUGGCUCAGGAUGAACGCUGGCGGCGUGCCUAACACAUGCAAGUCGAACGGGAACCCUUGGAUUCGUCUGGGGGGGAGAGUGGCAAACGGGUGAGUAACACGUUGGUGACCUGCCCCAAAGAGGGGAAUAACCACUGGAAACGGUGGCUAAUACCCCAUGUGGUCUGUCGGUCGGACGGCAGAUUAAAGCGCCCCAUUAGGGGCUGCGCUUUGGGAGGGGGCCUGCGGCCCAUCAGGUAGUUGGUAGGGUAAUGGCCUACCAAGCCGAUGACGGGUAGGGGGCGUGAGAGCGUGAUCCCCACACUGGCACUGAGACACGGGCCAGACUCCUACGGGAGGCAGCAGUGAGGAUA
rnacentral:rRNA from 1 species